CCUACGGGAGGCAGCAGUGGGGAAUAUUGGACAAUGGGCGAAAGCCUGAUCCAGCAAUGCCGCGUGAGUGAUGAAGGCCUUAGGGUUGUAAAGCUCUUUUACCAGGGAUGAUAAUGACAGUACCUGGAGAAUAAGCUCCGGCUAACUCCGUGCCAGCAGCCGCGGUAAUACGGAGGGAGCUAGCGUUGUUCGGAAUUACUGGGCGUAAAGCGUACGUAGGCGGUUAUUCAAGUCAGAGGUGAAAGCCUGGAGCUCAACUCCAGAACUGCCUUUGAAACUAGAUAGCUAGAAUCUUGGAGAGGUGAGUGGAAUUCCGAGUGUAGAGGUGAAAUUCGUAGAUAUUCGGAAGAACACCAGUGGCGAAGGCGACUCACUGGACAAGUAUUGACGCUGAGGUACGAAAGCGUGGGGAGCAAACAGGAUUAGAUACCCUGGUAGUCCACGCCGUAAACGAUGAUAACUAGCUGUUCGGGCUCUACGAGCUUGAGUGGCGCAGCUACGACAUUAAGUUAGUCCGUCCGUCGGGUAGGUACGGUCGCGAAGAAGUUAAAACGUUAACGUAAAUUAGUUAAGUUAGUUACGGUUCGUGAGACGUUGCCGACGGACGACGACGAGGGAGGAGG
rnacentral:rRNA from 1 species